CUCAGAGUCACAGAGGAUUGUCACUGGGGCCUCGGCAUCUGCAUUUCUAAGAAUCACUAUGUGACUUCUUGAACCAUAUAUUAAUUCCUAGUGGAUGAUUUAACAUUAUUAAUUCAUAUAAUUAAUCAUGAUUCUACAAGAUUUAUUGAAUCUCUUCAAGCAAGGUGAACUUUCAAGCAAGAAACACGGCUGGAAGCUUCUUGUCCCUGUUACCACUCUGGAUUUGACAGGUUUGAAGCAGUGAUUUCAGCUCUCUAGGUGAUCUUGACGUGGACGAUCUGCAGAAUGCUCUUUGAGAAACAUGAAAUCUAUUUUUAUGGACAAUCCUUGAGCCCUCUGAACUUUUAUUGGGGGAGAAUCUAGUAUUUAAAACAUGAAAAUAGGCUCUAAAUCUUAGCAGAAAUAUCUCCUUCAUGCCCAUCACCACCUACAACCCUGAAGGAGGUUUUUAGUUUAAAAAAAAAUUAAAAAAU
rnacentral:lncRNA from 1 species